rnacentral:rRNA from 1 species
AAGUGAAUAGUGAAAUCUGGGGCGUCAACCUCACAGGCUAUUAUUCAAACUCACAAGCCCGAGAAUGAUAGAGGUAACUGGAAUUUCUGAAGUAGGGGUAAUAUCCGUAGAUAUCAGAAGGAACACCAAUGGCGUAGGCAGGUUACUGGAUCAUUUCUGACACUGAGGCACGAAAGCGUGGGAGCGAACCGGAUUAGAUACCCGGGUAGUCCACGCCGUAAACGAUGGAUACUA